AUUGAACGCUGGCGGCAGGCCUAACACAUGCAAGUCGAGCGAGCGGCGGACGGGUGAGUAAUGUCUGGGAAACUGCCUGAUGGAGGGGGAUAACUACUGGAAACGGUAGCUAAUACCGCAUACCAUCAGAUGUGCCCAGAUGGGAUUAGCUAGUAGGUGGGGUAACGGCUCACCUAGGCGACGAUCCCUAGCUGGUCUGAGAGGAUGACCAGCCACGCUGGAACUAGGACACGGUCCAAACUCAUACGGGAGGCAGCAAUGGGGAAUUUUGCACAAUGGGCGCAAACCUGAUGCAGCCAUGCCGCGUGUAUGAAGAAGGCCUUCAGGUUGUAAAGUACUUUCAGCGGAGAGGCGUUACCCGCAGAAGGAGCACCGGCUAACUCCGUGCCAGCAGCCGCGGUAAUUC
rnacentral:rRNA from 1 species